GGGCCAGAAUAUUGAAUAUAAACAGACAAACGUUGCUAGUGGUUCAUAAGUAGAUUAAUCCGCUAAGUGUAUCGUUGUGUUUUCAGGCAAGACAUUACAUAUCAAAUCAAAAUAAUGGCUAAUGAAAAUGAACGCGUUGUUUUUCCCGAUGAAGUGGAACAGACCAAAGAGAAGGUUGCGGAAGAAACGCAAGCCACGGAAACCAAUGGUAUAGAGCAACCGCCUGAGAAAAGCGAAAUUCAGUUAAGAAAUAUGAUCACAGUUCCAGGCAACUGUCCGCCAGGUCAACAGCGUGGCGCUGACGGCAUUUGUCGCGACAUAUUUUGAAAUUUAAGGAAAUCUAUCAAUAAGGAUUAUUUAAAUUUAGUCAUAAGGUUUCGAAACAUCUUAUUCUUAAGACUUUCUAGCAUUUUAUGUUUGAUGCAUUGCCUUGUUUAAGAAUUUUAUUGUAAAUUAUCACAUAGCAGUAUUAUUUGUUUACCUGUUUUUUUAUGUGUUUUGUUUAAGUAAACUUACUUGUACUGUA